UACGGGGGGGAGCAAGCGUUGCUCGGAUUUACUGGGCGUAAAGGGCGCGUAGGCGGCGCAACAAGUCACUUGUGAAAUCUCCGGGCUUAACCCGGAGCGGUCAAGUGAUACUGUCGUGCUAGAGUGCGGAAGGGGCUACUGGAAUUCUCGGUGUAGCGGUGAAAUGCGUAGAUAUCGAGAGGAACACCUGCGGCGAAGGCGGGUUGCUGGGCCGACACUGACGCUCAUGCACGAAAGCGUGGGGAGCAAACAGG
rnacentral:rRNA from 1 species